rnacentral:rRNA from 1 species
GAUGAACGCUGGCGGCGUGCCUAAUACAUGCAAGUCGAGCGAACAGACGAGGAGCUUGCUCCUCUGACGUUAGCGGCGGACGGGUGAGUAACACGUGGAUAACCUACCUAUAAGACUGGGAUAACUUCGGGAAACCGGAGCUAAUACCGGAUAAUAUAUUGAACCGCAUGGUUCAAUAGUGAAAGACGGUUUUGCUGUCACUUAUAGAUGGAUCCGCGCCGCAUUAGCUAGUUGGUAAGGUAACGGCUUACCAAGGCAACGAUGCGUAGCCGACCUGAGAGGGUGAUCGGCCACACUGGAACUGAGACACGGUACAGACUCCUACGGGAGGCAGCAGUAGGGAAUCUUGCGCAAUGGGCGAAAGCCUGACGGAGCAACGCCGCGUGAGUGACGAAGGUCUUCGGAUCGUAAAACUCUGUUAUUAGGGAAGAACAAAUGUGUAAGUAACUAUGCACGUCUUGACGGUACCUAAUCAGAAAGCCACGGCUAACUACGUG